AUUAAUUGUCUGGCCUGCUCACUGACAUAAUAUAAUGUUAAAGAGCCGCGGUAUCCUGACCGUGCAAAGGUAGCAUAAUCAUUAGUUCUUUAAUUGAGAACUUGUAUGAAUGGUCGGACAAGAGAAACCCUGCCUCUGCUAUUAUAAUAGAAUUUAACUUUUAAGUGAAAAGGCUUAAAUUUUUCAAGGGGACAAUAAGACCCUAUAAAGCUUUAUAUACUAAUUAGAAUUAAUUGAAUUGACCAGAUAAAAAUUUAGUUUUAAAAAUAUAUUUAGUUGGGGCGACGAAAGUAUAAUUGAUAAUAACUGCUUAAAUAUAAUACAAAUAAUAAAUGAUUUUUUCUUAAUUGAUCCUUUUUAAAGAUUAAAGACCAAGUUACUUUAGGGAUAACAGCGUAAUUUCUUUUGAGAGUCCAUAUCGAAGAAGAAGUUUGCGACCUCGAUGUUGAAUUAAAAUAUCUUUAUAGUGCAGCAGCUAGAAAAAGAAGGUCUGUUCGACCUUUAA
rnacentral:rRNA from 1 species